UACGUAGGGUCCGAGCGUUGUCCGGAAUUACUGGGCGUAAAGAGCUCGUAGGUGGUUUGUCGCGUUGUUCGUGAAAACUCACAGCUCAACUGUGGGCGUGCGGGCGAUACGGGCAGACUAGAGUACUGCAGGGGAGACUGGAAUUCCUGGUGUAGCGGUGGAAUGCGCAGAUAUCGAGGAGGAACGACCGGUAGGCGGAAGGCGGGUCUCUGGGCCGAGUACAUGACGUGGAGGAGCG
rnacentral:rRNA from 1 species